GUGGGGAAUUUUGGACAAUGGGCGCAAGCCUGAUCCAGCAAUGCCGCGUGCAGGAAGAAGGCCUUCGGGUUGUAAACUGCUUUUGUACGGAACGAAACGGUCCUGGCUAAUACCCGGGGCUAAUGACGGUACCGUAAGAAUAAGCACCGGCUAACUACGUGCCAGCAGCCGCGGUAAUACGUAGGGUGCGAGCGUUAAUCGGAAUUACUGGGCGUAAAGCGUGCGCAGGCGGUGCUGUAAGACAGGCGUGAAAUCCCCGGGCUCAACCUGGGAAUUGCGCUUGUGACUACAGUGCUGGAGUGCGGCAGAGGGGGAUGGAAUUCCGCGUGUAGCAGUGAAAUGCGUAGAUAUGCGGAGGAACACCGAUGGCGAAGGCAAUCCCCUGGGCCUGCACUGACGCUCAUGCACGAAAGCGUGGGGAGCAAACAGGAUUAGAAACCCCAGUAGUCC
rnacentral:rRNA from 1 species